rnacentral:rRNA from 1 species
UUGACGGUACCCUACUAGAAAGGAGCCGCUAACUUCGUGCCAGAAGCGUCGGUAAUACGGGGGCUCCAAGCGUUAUCCGGUGUUAUUGGGCGUAAAGAGUCGUGUAGGUGGUUGGGUAAGUUAUCUUUCAAAUAUCUUUGCUUAACAAAGAGGAGGGGGAUAAUACUGCUCGACUAGAAUUUUCUCAAGGGAGAUCGGAACUGAGGGAGGAGUAGUGAAAUGCGUUGAUACCCUCGGGAACACCAGUGGCGUAGGCGGAUCUCUGGGAGAAGAUUGACACUGAGACACGAAAGCUAGGGGAGCGAAGCAGAUUAGAGACCUGCGUAGUCCUAGCCGUAAACGCAUGCUUGCUAGCUGCAUGAAUCUACCUUCGGGUGGUAUCGUGUGGCGAAGGUAACCCGUUAAGCAAGCCGCCUGGAAAGUACGGCCGCAAGGCUGAAAUUCAAAGGAAUUGGCGGGGAGGCACACGACCAGUGGAACAUGUGGUUUAAUUCGAGACUAACCGAAGAACCUCACCAGGGUUUGACAUGUAGCUGCACGUCUUAAGAAAUUAAGACUCUCUUGAAGGUGCUACACAGGUGCUGCAUGGCUGUCGUCAGCUCGUUCCGUGAGGAGUGCCCUUAAGUGGGACAACGAGCGCAACCCCUAUUACAUGUUAGAAAUGUCAUGUAAGACUGCCUUGCCAUUUGGCGGGGAGGAAGGAGGGGCAGACGUCAAGUCCGCAUGGUCCUUAUGCCCUGGGCUACACACAUGUUACAAUGAGUACGGCAAUGAGUCUGUCGCGAGCACGUAAGUGUAAGCUAAUCUCUUAAAUGUACUCUCAGUGGGGAUUGAGGUCUGCAACUCGACCUCAUGAACACGGAAUUGGUAGUAAUCGCGCGUCAGCUAUACCGCGGUGAAUACGUUCUUGCCUCUUGCACACACCGCCCGUCAAACCAGCAAAGU